UACAGAGACUGCAAGCGUUAUUCGGAUUCACUGGGCGUAAAGGGUGCGCAGGCGGCCAAGUGUGUGAGGCGUGAAAGCCCGGGGCUUAACCCCGGAAUUGCACCUCAAACUACUCGGCUAGAGCAUUGGAGAGGGUAGCAGAAUUCAUGGUGUAGCAGUGAAAUGCGUAGAUAUCAUGAGGAAUACCAGAGGCGAAGGCGGCUACCUGGACAAUUGCUGACGCUCAGGCACGAAAGCGUGGGGAGCAAAAGGG
rnacentral:rRNA from 1 species